GCUGGGCGCAGUGGCGUAUGCCUGUAAUCCUAGCAGUUUGGGAGGCUGAGUCAAGAGGAUUGCGAGUUCAAAGCCAGUCUUAGCAAUGGCGAGGUGCUAAGCAAUUCAGUGAGACCUUAUCUCUA
rnacentral:sRNA from 1 species